CUUAGAUCAAUUUAGGCCUAUGCACAUAUGAUAAAGACAGCAUAUUGCUGUGAUAGCCUUGAACCAAAUUGACUCUCUUCUCUUUUUUUUUCCACUCUUGCUUCUGACAUCACUUCCCCAACACUAUAUUCACCGAGCUCUG
rnacentral:lncRNA from 12 species